GGCGCGGCAUGGCGGCGGGGCCGGUGGAUUGCCACUGCCACCUCGCCGCGCCCUGCUUCCAGGCGGUGAGGCGCGGAGGGGCGGGCGGCGGCGCGGCCCCGGGGCUGGCGCUGAGGCGGUGCGUGUCUCUUGCAGGACGUGGCGGACGUGGUGCGGGCGGCGCAGCAGGCGGCCGUGUCGGCGCUCGUCGUGGUGUCGGAGCAGGCGGCGGAGUUCCCGAGCGUCCUGGCGCUGUCGGAGAGGUGCGAGGCGGGAGGGGAGGCCGGGAGCUCAUCCCGGAGUCCCCCCUCCCGUGUCCUAGAACCCUUUCUACUGUAUCCUGGAGCACCACCACCACGUCCAAUGGUUGCUGAUGGGGACUCGCUGCCCUCUUGGUCAGGCCAGCGGUUCCUUUUGGCUUUAAACCUGCUUUCUGUGCAGUCUCUCAUGGUGCUGAUGCGCGUUCCAUGCCUAGAUUCCAAGGGUUUGUUUUACCGUGCCUGGGAGUUCACCCGGUUCAAGAGGUUUCACCAGAGGAGCAGCGCAGCGUUACUCUGAAGGAUCUGGAUGCUGCAUUGCCGCUUAUAGAACUCUACAAAGAUAAACUGGUGGGGAUUGGGGAAGUUGGACUAGAUUUCACUCCCAGAUUUGCCAGCACGGAUGAAGAGAAGGAAGGACAAAGACAGGUUUUGAUCAAGCAGAUUGAGAUAGCGAGAAGACUGGAUUUGCCUUUGUAGGUGUUUGUACUAGUAUGAGAAUUUGCCAAAUCUCAGUAACACGAGGAAAUAUUUCCCAGGAUUUAUAAUCAUGAAGAGCCCCAGAACUUUUCUUACAUGGAUUAAACUGGUGUUACUGUCCUGACAGCCUCCAGUUUGAGAUUCAAUCAUAGAAUUUUCCCUGUGUUUGCACUUAAAUACAGUCAUCUUCUUUGUCCUGUCCUUGCUAUGUUGUUGCUGUAUCUUCACUGUAGCUAAAACGAUUCAUAUUUAUGUCUCUAGAUUUUUCUCCUGAUAAAGGUGUACUACAGAUCAGUUUUUUCAUCCCAAGCUGCUGCUGUUCAUUUGUGCUUAGUCCAAAAAACAAAAGUAUUUUGCUGAGUUUCCUCAUGCCUCAUCCUCUUGCUGUGCAGAAAUGUUCAUUCCCGCUCAGCUGGAAGACCAACCAUUAGCCUCUUAAAGGAACAAGGUGCUUCCAAGGUGUUGCUCCAUGCCUUUGAUGGGAAGCCAUCUGUAGCAAUGGAAGGGGUGAAAGCUGGAUACUUCUUCUCCAUUCCUCCUUCCAUUAUAAGGAGUGAACAGAAGCAGAAGCUUGUGAAACUGUUACCACUGGAAAGUAUGUGCUUGGAAACUGACUCUCCUGCUCUGGGGCCUGAAAAACAGGUGAGAAAUGAACCAAAAAAUAUUUACAUUGCUGCAGAAUACAUUGCCAAAAUUAAAGGAAUUCCAGUUGAAGAAGUUAUAGAAGUGACUACACAGAAUGCACUGAAAGUAUUCCCCAAACUUCGGAACUUUCUUCAGAUAUAGAUCGAGAAACUGAAAUAUAGGAUAUCGCAGAAACUGUUAUUUAUGGUGUAAUUAAUAAACCCAAUGUGCAUCUUGUUUUGAAGUGGAGUUUCGCUGUUGGAAAGUCCAAGGAGCGAUCAGAGUGUUCUAAAGCUGCAUAGGAUGAAUACAGGGAAAUUCUCAAAGACCUUUUGUAUGCACCAUUGUCAUCUCUUGGAUGUGAUAAAGGCAGGUCCUUCAGUUGCAUCUCUCAUGUUUCUGACUGAAUAAUUUGUGAAGAAGAGCACCACAGAAUUGUCAGGAUAGUUUCCUUGCUCAGCUGCUCCUAGGCUGGGAGAUGGCUGAUGGCUGAUGUCCCUUUAAUGUCCCUUUCAUUCCUUAAUUGCUGCUGACUGAAAGUCACACAGUCGUGGGCCCACUUGCGAUACAAAAGCACUCGUUAGGACCUGCAGAUCUCUUUCUGAGCCAUUAAAACCCCAGCUGGGUGGGCAUGCUCUGGUUGUGUUGAGUGGGCUCUGUGAGUGGUGAAGUAACCCCUCUGCUUUCCUUCAAAAUCCAGUUGCAAGGGAAGAACUACAGCUAUUUGGAGAAGGAUUUGCUUUGGGGUUUUUAACAUUUCAUUUUUCGAAUCAUAUUCGAAGGAAAAAGCCUGGGUUUGGUUUUAUUUCAAGGACUUCCUUUUCUGACUGCUCAGUGUCAGACAGGGACGUGAAAAGGAGACAAGCCCCAUUUUGGGAGAUCUUGGAGAUACCUGUCUGCUGUGGAUUCUGCUACGUUGGCCAGUGUCCUAAAACCUGAAUCCUGUGCUCCCUUACAGCCCCUUUGUGGAUGUGGGCCAGUUGAAACACUGAUCAAAGUUUUGCUGACUAUAAACCAGCAAUGGGUGAGGGCUCGUGUGGAGCAAGGCUGAAGUGAUGGCCAAGUGACUUGGAAGAGUGGAGCGGGUUCAGUAGAACUAAAAAGUUCACGGUAAGUCACUUGAACUCCUCACAUUUUGGAAAUCCCCUCUGAGCUCAGGACCAACAGCAAGAGUGUCUAAGGGCUCUAUUUGUGCUCACUUAAAUCAGUCUCCCCAGAGCCUUCUUCCGAAACUUGGACUAAGAGUGCCUGAAUCUGCUGAACUCUGGAACAAACUGCCAUGAGCUUUCCCAGAUUUCGACAUAGGAACAAGUGAGGAGAUGGUGAUGAGGCCAAGUGGGUGAUACGCUGUUUAAUCCUGUUGUUUACUGUGAUAAGAGUUUAAACAAAUUGACCAAAGACUUUUACUGGAGGUGCUUCCAGCAGGCUCCUAUGCAAUGCAUAGAUAGGCUCUUUAGAGGCAAAAGCAAAUAAAUACUUGGCUGGAAAUGCAACUUUCAUCACUGAUGAACUUCUGAAUUUGUUUGUUUUUUCAUUAAUGCAGGCCUGGGGUUCGAUCCUCUGUUCCCAUCACAGAA